rnacentral:rRNA from 1 species
GUAAGGUUAAGCCUCACGGUUCAUUAGUACCGGUUAGCUCAACGCAUCGCUGCGCUUACACACCCGGCCUAUCAACGUCGUCGUCUUCAACGUUCCUUCAGGAGACUUAAAGUCUCAGGGAGAACUCAUCUCGGGGCAAGUUUCGUGCUUAGAUGCUUUCAGCACUUAUCUCUUCCGCAUUUAGCUACCGGGCAGUGCCAUUGGCAUGACAACCCGAACACCAGUGAUGCGUCCACUCCGGUCCUCUCGUACUAGGAGCAGCCCCCCUCAAUUCUCCAGCGCCCACGGCAGAUAGGGACCGAACUGUCUCACGACGUUCUAAACCCAGCUCGCGUACCACUUUAAAUGGCGAACAGCCAUACCCUUGGGACCUACUUCAGCCCCAGGAUGUGAUGAGCCGACAUCGAGGUGCCAAACACCGCCGUCGAUAUGAACUCUUGGGCGGUAUCAGCCUGUUAUCCCCGGAGUACCUUUUAUCCGUUGAGCGAUGGCCCUUCCAUUCAGAACCACCGGAUCACUAUGACCUGCUUUCGCACCUGCUCGCGCCGUCACGCUCGCAGUCAAGCUAGCUUAUGCCAUUGCACUAACCUCCUGAUGUCCGACCAGGAUUAGCUAACCUUCGUGCUCCUCCGUUACGCUUUGGGAGGAGACCGCCCCAGUCAAACUACCCACCAGACACUGUCCGCAACCCCGAUAAGGGGCCAACGUUAGAACAUCAAACAUUAAAGGGUGGUAUUUCAAGGUUGGCUCCACGCAGACUGGCGUCCACGCUUCAAAGCCUCCCACCUAUCCUACACAUCAAGGCUCAAUGUUCAGUGUCAAGCUAUAGUAAAGGUUCACGGGGUCUUUCCGUCUUGCCGCGGGUACACUGCAUCUUCACAGCGAGUUCAAUUUCACUGAGUCUCGGGUGGAGACAGCCUGGCCAUCAUUACGCCAUUCGUGCAGGUCGGAACUUACCCGACAAGGAAUUUCGCUACCUUAGGACCGUUAUAGUUACGGCCGCCGUUUACCGGGGCUUCGAUCAAGAGCUUCUCCUUACGGAUAACCCCAUCAAUUAACCUUCCGGCACCGGGCAGGCGUCACACCGUAUACGUCCACUUUCGUGUUUGCACAGUGCUGUGUUUUUAAUAAACAGUUGCAGCCAGCUGGUAUCUUCGACUGGUCUCAGCUCCAUCCGCAGGGACUUCACCUACACACCAGCGUGCCUUCUCCCGAAGUUACGGCACCAUUUUGCCUAGUUCCUUCACCCGAGUUCUCUCAAGCGCCUUGGUAUUCUCUACCUGACCACCUGUGUCGGUUUGGGGUACGAUUUAAUGUUACCUGAUGCUUAGAGGCUUUUCCUGGAAGCAGGGCAUUUGUUACUUCAGCACCGUAGUGCCUCGUCAUCACACCUCAGCCUUGAUUAUCCGGAUUUGCCUGGACAACCAGCCUACAUGCUUAAACCGGGACAACCGUCGCCCGGCUAACAUAGCCUUCUCCGUCCCCCCUUCGCAGUAACACCAAGUACAGGAAUAUUAACCUGUUUCCCAUCGACUACGCCUUUCGGCCUCGCCUUAGGGGUCGACUCACCCUGCCCCGAUUAACGUUGGACAGGAACCCUUGGUCUUCCGGCGAGCGGGCUUUUCACCCGCUUUAUCGUUACUUAUGUCAGCAUUCGCACUUCUGAUACCUCCAGCAUGCCUCACAGCACACCUUCGCAGGCUUACAGAACGCUCCCCUACCCAACAACACAUAGUGUCGCUGCCGCAGCUUCGGUGCAUGGUUUAGCCCCGUUACAUCUUCCGCGCAGGCCGACUCGACCAGUGAGCUAUUACGCUUUCUUUAAAUGAUGGCUGCUUCUAAGCCAACAUCCUGGCUGUCUGUGCCUUCCCACAUCGUUUCCCACUUAACCAUGACUUUGGGACCUUAGCUGGCGGUCUGGGUUGUUUCCCUCUUCACGACGGACGUUAGCACCCGCCGUGUGUCUCCCGUGAUAACAUUCUUCGGUAUUCGUAGUUUGCAUCGGGUUGGUAAGUCGGGAUGACCCCCUAGCCGAAACAGUGCUCUACCCCCGAAGAUGAGUUCACGAGGCGCUACCUAAAUAGCUUUCGGGGAGAACCAGCUAUCUCCCGGUUUGAUUGGCCUUUCACCCCCAGCCACAAGUCAUCCGCUAAUUUUUCAACAUUAGUCGGUUCGGUCCUCCAGUUAGUGUUACCCAACCUUCAACCUGCCCAUGGCUAGAUCACCGGGUUUCGGGUCUAUACCCUGCAACUUAACGCCCAGUUAAGACUCGGUUUCCCUGCGGCUCCCCUAUACGGUUAACCUUGCUACAGAAUAUAAGUCGCUGACCCAUUAUACAAAAGGUACGCAGUCACACCCGAAGGUGCUCCCACUGCUUGUACGUACACGGUUUCAGGUUCUUUUUCACUCCCCUCGCCGGGGUUCUUUUCGCCUUUCCCUCACGGUACUGGUUCACUAUCGGUCAGUCAGGAGUAUUUAGCCUUGGAGGAUGGUCCCCCCAUAUUCAGACAGGAUACCACGUGUCCCGCCCUACUCUUCGAGUUCACAGCCUGUGCAUUUUGGUGUACGGGACUAUCACCCUGUACCGUCGGACUUUCCAGACCGUUCCACUAACACACAAGCUGAUUCAGACUCUGGGCUGCUCCCCGUUCGCUCGCCGCUACUGGGGGAAUCUCGGUUGAUUUCUUUUCCUCGGGGUACUUAGAUGUUUCAGUUCCCCCGGUUCGCCUCGUUAACCUAUGUAUUCAGUUAACGAUAGUGCAACGAAUUGCACUGGGUUUCCCCAUUCGGACAUCGCCGGUUAUAACGGUUCAUAUCACCUUACCGACGCUUUUCGCAGAUUAGCACGUCCUUCAUCGCCUCUGACUGCCAGGGCAUCCACCGUGUACGCUUAGUCGCUUAACC